rnacentral:rRNA from 1 species
CAAAGCAGCGAUGUGGAGNAAACCCCUAAAAAAUAGGUCUCAGUUCAGAUUGCAGGCUGCAACCCGCCUGCAUGAAGUCGGAAUUGCUAGUAAUCGCGGAUCAGCAUGCCGCGGUGAAUACGUUCCCGGGCCUUGUACACACCGCCCGUCACACCAUGGGAGUUUGUAACGCCCAAAGUCGGUGGCCUAACCUUUAUGGAGGGAGCCGCCUAAGGCGGGACAGAUGACUGGGGUGAAGUCGUAACAAGGUAGC